UGGGGAAUAUUGCACAAUGGGCGCAAGCCUGAUGCAGCCAUGCCGCGUGUAUGAAGAAGGCCUUAGGGUUGUAAAGUACUUUCAGCGGGGUGGAAGGUGAUAAGGUUAAUACCCUUGUCAAUUGACGUUACCCGCAGAAGAAGCACCGGCUAACUCCGUGCCAGCAGCCGCGGUAAUACGGAGGGUGCAAGCGUUAAUCGGAAUUACUGGGCGUAAAGCGCACGCAGGCGGUCAAUUAAGUCAGAUGUGAAAGCCCCGAGCUUAACUUGGGAAUUGCAUCUGAAACUGGUUGGCUAGAGUCUUGUAGAGGGGGGUAGAAUUCCAUGUGUAGCGGUGAAAUGCGUAGAGAUGUGGAGGAAUACCGGUGGCGAAGGCGGCCCCCUGGACAAAGACUGACGCUCAGGUGCGAAAGCGUGGGGAGCAAACA
rnacentral:rRNA from 1 species